UAAGACUAAGCUAAGCUAUAAAUUUCUGGUGAUAAUUUCGAGCUUUUAAACUGCGAAAAUAACGCUGGGUUUAGAUAUACUCACCCAAACUAGUUUUGCGCUGUUGAAACUAGUUCGAGUGAGGUGCUGUGUCAUUGACAACUAGACCUGCUUGUAUAUCACGAGCCUGUCACAUAUUUUCAAGGGUAUAUCCCAAUUUUGGAUUCGACGGUUCGCUAUGAAAAUGUGUGUUAUAACACUCCAUUAUAUACGAUUUUAAUCAUAAAGAAUUUGAGCAUUUAAUAUUUAGGAUUUUUAAACAGAUUUGAUGGACAAAGAUCUUCUUACACAAGAAGCAAAAUAUUGGCCCAGCAUUUUAUAUUUACAAUAUUUGAAAAUAUGUCGCAUUUCCUUCAUUCACAUGCAGCUGUCACAACUUUUUCUUAUAAAUUUUCUUAUAAAUUUUCUAUAAACCGACGAAUUACCCAAAUCUAAAAAUAUUGGUGAAUUCAUUUAUUCUGGUUCGACACAUAGCACAAUUUUUUUCAUAUAAAAGGAUUUAAACAUCUUGGAUCAUUGCCAUUAUUUUUUUACCAGGAAGUACAAACUGGUUUGACUUCAUUAUGUUUUUAUCCUGGUAUGUUCACAUAGGACAGUUGAAUUUGUUACAAGCUCAAAUUCGUCAGGUUCAUAUGUUUACAUGGUGAAAACAGUGAUUUAUUCUUCUCACAUAAUUCUAUGUGUUCACACAAGUGAACCAGAUGAAUACAACCACAGUCCUGAAUUAAUCUGGUCCUUGUGAAUGAACCAUAGUUUAUGAACAUAUAUUUCUGUGUUGAAUUGUGUGUUUGCAGUUGUUUACCCUGACUUUGAAAACCCUCUAAUUUCUGGAAUUAUAAAUUUUCAGAAAGAUGAAAACACUUGCAGGGUGUGCCAAAUUAUAGGCUAAUAUUUUAAGUUGGGUGUGCACUCGGUACUGGGUUUUUCAAGCACUGCCAAAUCUAUGCGGUAUCUAGGUAGCAUUUUACUCUUACCAACAAAUGGGUUUCACAUUUGGCAAACCAGACAACAACCACACUUGUGUGACAGAGAGAUUAGAAUCUAUCACAAGGGGUAAAUCAUUGAUGAUUUAAAUCUUGCUGCUUUCAGAUAUGAUGAAAAAUGGCAACCAUGUUUAAUACUGCCAGAUUAACAGAUUAAGGAUUUCUCUAGAGAAGUCCAUGAUUUUGUUUUUUAAAAGUAUUCAUCCUUUAACACUUUAUCCUUUAAUUCAGAGUAGAAUAUGACAUUAGGGUAGAUGUUAAUAGGCAUAAACUCAAACCAAGUAACUAGCAAUUGUUUCAAAUUGGUUUCACAUACACAGCCAUGUGCUAAAAUAUACUAGAUUUGAGCACUUUUAUAUAACACAAGAAACAGUGCAAGAAACAGAGAACAUUGCAAGAAAUAUUUUAUUCAACCAAAUUAAAAAAUUCUGGAUGAAUGUUAGUCUACAGGCAAAAUUAUUUCUUGAUUAGCUGAAAAUGUUAUUUUGAUUUCUGAAAUUUUGCUAUCUGAUUUGUAACAGUCUCAUUACAGAAGGGUCCCAUGUACUAUUUUUGCUUCCAUUAUUUCCAUAUAUAAAUUAAAAGUUUAAUUUAUGUCAAGGUUCAAUUCAUCAUAGUGUUCAUCAUUCAUUAGCAUCACCUCAUGUAAUUGGGGACAUAAACAUUUUAGUUAUUCAUAUACUCCUGCUGUAUGUAAUAUAUUAUUCAUAAUGUGGGGGAAGAUGUGGCCAACAGUACAUCAUUAUAAUAUUGAUUACCAAAAAUUUUUAAGAUUUUGCUAGAAAUAUCUCAGUAUACUGCAGUGUGUUCAGUUUUAGAUAUGAUUAGAAUACAACUCUUCAUACUAAACUAUCAUAUUGUUUUUUAUAACAUUUUAAUAUUUGUUUUAAUAAUAUGGCUGCUUACAGCCCGUAAUAUAAACACUUGAACUGCUGUAUUCUUAAAAAUCAUAUACUGUCUUAAUAUUUAACACCAUUUUGGUUUACUAUGCUUCAAAUAUAAGCUAGAGUUGAUCCAAAGAAGAAAAUUAGGAGCAUGAAAUUUAAGCAAUUAUAAAUCAAGUAGCCCAUCUAAUUUCAGGAGCAGAACUGAUGUGCGGAUGCUGUAACCCUCCCCUUUAAUAUCUUUUAACGUAACAUUUAAUAUUAAGAUGGCAAUACUCAUCUAUGUCCAAACUUAAAAGUUUCUACUGUUCUGCACAAUAUUGUACAAGAAAAUACACGCUUUGGCAGCCUUAAAUUAAAUGAAAAUUUAAGUAGUCUGUAGUCUUUUUAAUUAAGCAAAUCAGCGUUUUAUACUCGUAGUUUCUAAAAUAUUUUAAAGGCACUCGUCUCCGUUACUUCUUUAUGUAACUUCUUAAUAUAACUGAAAUAUUGAAGCAAUUUUUUAAUUUAAGCAAGUGAAACAAUAUCCUUACUAUCCUCUACUUUUGAGAAUUUUAUGUCUCGGAAUUUGCUGACCAUUCCAUUAAAAGCUUUUACCGAAAUUGGCUUAACUUAGGAAAAUUACUGUUGCUUUUUAAUAUAUAUGUAAAAUUUUCGCGCGCUUACGGGAAAAUCGCAUUCGGAAAGUCAAAUGUUGAUUGCUUCACAAACUGGAGACUGGAAUGGACCUAAAUCAGAAAACUGGCCCUCCGCAUAUUCUUGUCAUUGACUCAUUGUGACUGAUUUGUUUUCAAUUUUAGAAUGUAAUAUCGGGUUUUAGUAUUAUUCUGAAAUAGAACCAUGUGGCACUUGUGACAUGGCUAGCUAUUCCCCUCUCAAAUGUUGGGGUGAUGUAUCAAGUGGGGCCAUCAAAGAAGGAUAACUAACUCAAGAACAAUCAGGUUUAUGUACAACCAACGCGAUCAGGAUCUCAAUGCGAUUGAAUGAAGUUACUGAGGAAAUGGUUCAGA